rnacentral:tRNA from 4 species
GCGGGUAUGGUGAAAUUGGUAGACACAACAGACUUAAAAUCUGUCGACCAUUAGGUCAUGCCGGUUCAAGUCCGGCUACCCGCACCA